rnacentral:rRNA from 1 species
GACGUAGGUUGCAAGCGUUAUCCGGAAUUAUUGGGCGUAAAGAGUUCGUAGGUGGUUUGUUAAGUUGGAUGUCAAAGCCCGGAGCUCAACUUCGGACAGGUGUCCAAAACUGGCAAACUAGAGACAGGCAGAGGCAAGUGGAAUUCUGUAUGUAGGGGUAAUAUCCGUAGAUAUACAGAGGAACACCAAAAGCGAAGGCAGCUUGCUGGGCCUGUUCUGACACUCAAGAACGAAAGCGUGGGGAGCAAACGGG